UACGUAGGGGGCGAGCGUUAUCCGGAUUUAUUGGGCGUAAAGCGUGUGUAGGUGGUUCGUAAGGUCAGGCGUAAAAGAACACAGCUUAACUGUGUAGGGCGUUUGAAACCGACGGACUUGAAUACGGUAGAGGCAGGUGGAAUUCCAUGUGUAGCGGUGGAAUGCGUAGAUAUAUGGAGGAACACCAAUGGCGAAGGCAACCUGCUGGGCCGGAAUUGACACUGAGACACGAAAGCGUGGGGAGCAAACAGG
rnacentral:rRNA from 1 species